rnacentral:rRNA from 1 species
CUGGUUGAUCCUGCCAGUAGUCAUACGCUUAUGUCAAAGAUUAAGCCAUGCAUGCGUAAGAACAAGCAUCUUGUUCCGUGAAUCUGCGAACGGCUCAUUAAAUCAGUGAUGAUUUCUUUGAUGGUACUUCGCUACAUGGAUAACUGUAGUAAUUCUAGAGCUAAUACAUGCGUAAAGUCCCGACCUUCGGGAAGGGAUGUAUUUAUUAGGUACAAAGCCAAUCGGGGUAACCCGUUCUUUGGUGAUUCAUAGUAACUGAUCGAAUCGCACGGCUUCAGGCUGGCGAUAGUUCAUUCAAAUUUCUGCCCUAUCAGCUUUCGACGGUUGGGUAGUGGCCAACCGUGGCAUUAACGGGUGACGGAGAAUUAGGGUUCGAUUCCGGAGAGGGAGCCUGAGAAACGGCUACCACAUCCAAGGAAGGCAGCAGGCGCGCAAAUUACCCACUCCCGGCACGGGGAGGUAGUGACGAAAAAUAACGAUACGGGACUCAUCCGAGGCCCCGUAAUCGGAAUGAGCACACUCUAAACCCUUUAACGAGGAUCAAUUGGAGGGCAAGUCUGGU